UACGGGGGGAGCAAGCGUUGUUCGGAUUUACUGGGCGUAAAGGGCGCGUAGGCGGCGUGACAAGUCACUUGUGAAAUCUCCGGGCUUAACCCGGAGCGGCCAAGUGAUACUGUCGUGCUAGAGUGCGGAAGGGGCUACUGGAAUUCUCGGUGUAGCGGUGAAAUGCGUAGAUAUCAGGAGGAACACCGGUGGCGAAGGCGGGUCUCUGGGCCGUAACUGACGCUGAGGAGCGAAAGCGUGGGGAGCGAACAGG
rnacentral:rRNA from 1 species